rnacentral:lncRNA from 1 species
UUCAUCGCCUCAGGAAACUUCAGUUGCACCUGAGAGAAAAUAGAAGCCAACCUGGAAGAAAAAGAAAAGAGAUAUAUAAUAGCCUUGAUAGAGGGAAAGAAAAAUCAGAUUAAUUUAUAUGCUCUGGAUGAUCUCUAAAUGUUUCCUUAAAGAUGAAUUAAAAGCCUUUUAAUUCACAAAGAGCUGAGUUCAGGGCCUUGUACAUCUUCUAUUAGAGCUGAAAACAUGAUAAAGAGAUGGAUUUUCAAGCUUCCCUUAAGGGUCUACUAUUGCAAUGGAAAACAGAGCAUUAAACUUUGCAAUUGGCAAGUUGUUUGUGACAAAGCAUCAGCAACGUCCUGCGCUGAACAUGAUUCACGUAAGGAGCAGACAGUGGAUACUGAGUUUGAAAUGGGGCUAAUCAACAAUCUUUGGAAUAAAGAAGUAUCUUAACUCAAAAAUGUUGAUGCAUGAACGAAUGUUAUUCUCUGUGCGCUGAGUUACUGUUUAGGGGACACAUCUACACAAGCAACCAUACUGAAUCUGUUCAGUGCCAUUCACAAGCAAAUUAAAUUUCAAAAUCUGACUGUAUGUGCAUGUGUGUGUCUAAAUAUCUCUAGAGAAAUUACUUAUUUAUUUUCUACUUUGCUCAAAUUUUUCCUCUUCCAGUGCGCUCAGUUCAUUCCUGGAGUCACUCUAUUGACGUUAACAGUGGGGUAUCAAGGAGGUAUUUUGCUCUUCUACUAAAUUUUUAGGAUAAAAGUUUCUGGGACAAGGCCACACACAGCUGCAGGCGAGCUGUCUGAUCCAGGCAGGGGACUGAUGUGGGGGUGGAGGAAGGUCUGCUUCUCUGGCCUUGGGGGACAGCACAAGUCCAAGCUGGGUAGUGUGUGAUAGAGCAAGGCAGCAAUGCAGAAAUGCUAAAGAAGGUGGGUGUCCUGGCCCCUAGACUUUUAGGGACAAUUUGAUGGAGGAUUGUUGGAGAGGCCCGAGGAAGGUGUGCCUUGUGAAAGAGCCUGGCAAAGAGCAGGUGUGAAGGAGGAAUGGUGCAGGGGAUGUCAGAGCGCUGUGGCAGCUCAUCUCAUUGAUGGCCAGCUGGACAAGGUGUCAUUGUGCUCUGCCUCUCAGGCAGACAGUAGUUGAAGAAGAUGAGGGGUAAGGGAACACUGAAGAAAGAGGAUGAACAGAUUACUCUAGCUGGGAAGACAGUGCUGUGGGUGUCUAACCUAGGCAGUGUUAAGUAUUGCAUGUAGCCUCUGAGUUGUCUGAAUGAACACAAAAAUGCAGGAUCCUCUUGAAAAUUAGGGUGCAGCUCCAUGUUAUGGAUCCUUCAUCAGUGGAUCCAGUAUACCCUCUCCCACUCUUCUUUGACCCCACACAAGGAUCUGCUGCCUCUAAUGCUGUGUCUGUUCUACUGCUGGUGUGUCCAGGACUGGUGAAAAUGGGAUGACUAAAGAAAAAAGAUUAUGUCAGGAAGACAAUAGAGAAACAGGUAGGUAAUAGGAAAAAAGUGCUUCUUUAGAACCAAAUCAUUUUAUACCUCUGAGUUAUCUGAGUUGGUGCAAAGGAGAGGGAUAACCAAACCUUCUUGGGGAUUGGAGGGGACAGAGAUGAGCAGGGGUGGUGUGGGUGGGGCUGAAAAGUUUCUAGCCAGUACUACUCCCAAGGGAUUGGAAAUACCAUAAUCCACUUUUAAUAGUUUAGAAACAUCUAAUGUUUCUAAAAAACCAGGUGUGCAUAUGGACAAUGGUCAUGUCUGGAGAGCAGGAGCUCUACCCGGUCCAAUAAAUCAGCUCCCUGCUGCUGAGCUGCUUUUUCU